rnacentral:rRNA from 1 species
UACGUAGGGUCCGAGCGUUUGUCCGGAAUUACUGGGCGUAAAGAGCUCGUAGGUGGUUUGUCGCGUUGUUCGUGAAAACUCACAGCUCAACUGUGGGCGUGCGGGCGAUACGGGCAGACUAGAGUACUGCAGGGGAGACUGGAAUUCCUGGUGUAGCGGUGGAAUGCGCAGAUAUCAGGAGGAACACCGGUGGCGAAGGCGGGGUCUCUGGGCAGUAACUGACGCUGAGGAGCGAAAGCGUGGGGAGCGAACAGG